rnacentral:tRNA from 1 species
GGCGGGAUGCCCGAGCGGCCAAAGGGAGCGGUCUGUAAAACCGUCGGCUGCCGCCUACGAAGGUUCGAAUCCUUCUCCCGCCA